UCAGAGGCGAUGAAGGACGUGCUAAUCUGCGAUAAGCGUCGGUAAGGUGAUAUGAACCGUUAUAACCGGCGAUUUCCGAAUGGGGAAACCCAGUGUGAUUCGUCACACUAUCAUUAACUGAAUCCAUAGGUUAAUGAGGCGAACCGGGGGAACUGAAACAUCUAAGUACCCCGAGGAAAAGAAAUCAACCGAGAUUCCCCCAGUAGCGGCGAGCGAACGGGGAGCAGCCCAGAGCCUGAAUCAGUGUGUGUGUUAGUGGAAGCGUCUGGAAAGGCGUGCGAUACAGGGUGACAGCCCCGUACACAAAAAUGCACAUGCUGUGAGCUCGAUGAGUAGGGCGGGACACGUGGUAUCCUGUCUGAAUAUGGGGGGACCAUCCUCCAAGGCUAAAUACUCCUGACUGACCGAUAGUGAACCAGUACCGUGAGGGAAAGGCGAAAAGAACCCCGGCGAGGGGAGUGAAAAAGAACCUGAAACCGUGUACGUACAAGCAGUGGGAGCACGCUUAGGCGUGUGACUGCGUACCUUUUGUAUAAUGGGUCAGCGACUUAUAUUCUGUAGCAAGGUUAACCGAAUAGGGGAGCCGAAGGGAAACCGAGUCUUAACUGGGCGUUAAGUUGCAGGGUAUAGACCCGAAACCCGGUGAUCUAGCCAUGGGCAGGUUGAAGGUUGGGUAACACUAACUGGAGGACCGAACCGACUAAUGUUGAAAAAUUAGCGGAUGACUUGUGGCUGGGGGUGAAAGGCCAAUCAAACCGGGAGAUAGCUGGUUCUCCCCGAAAGCUAUUUAGGUAGCGCCUCGUGAAUUCAUCUCCGGGGGUAGAGCACUGUUUCGGCAAGGGGGUCAUCCCGACUUACCAACCCGAUGCAAACUGCGAAUACCGGAGAAUGUUAUCACGGGAGACACACGGCGGGUGCUAACGUCCGUCGUGAAGAGGGAAACAACCCAGACCGCCAGCUAAGGUCCCAAAGUCAUGGUUAAGUGGGAAACGAUGUGGGAAGGCCCAGACAGCCAGGAUGUUGGCUUAGAAGCAGCCAUCAUUUAAAGAAAGCGUAAUAGCUCACUGGUCGAGUCGGCCUGCGCGGAAGAUGUAACGGGGCUAAACCAUGCACCGAAGCUGCGGCAGCGACGCUGAUGCGUUGUUGGGUAGGGGAGCGUUCUGUAAGCCUGCGAAGGUGUGCUGUGAGGCAUGCUGGAGGUAUCAGAAGUGCGAAUGCUGACAUAAGUAACGAUAAAGCGGGUGAAAAGCCCGCUCGCCGGAAGACCAAGGGUUCCUGUCCAACGUUAAUCGGGGCAGGGUGAGUCGACCCCUAAGGCGAGGCCGAAAAGCGUAGUCGAUGGGAAACAGGUUAAUAUUCCUGUACUUGGUGUUACUGCGAAGGGGGGACGGAGAAGGCUAUGUUGGCCGGGCGACGGUUGUCCCGGUUUAAGCGUGUAGGCUGGUUUUCCAGGCAAAUCCGGAAAAUCAAGGCUGAGGCGUGAUGACGAGGCACUACGGUGCUGAAGCAACAAAUGCCCUGCUUCCAGGAAAAGCCUCUAAGCAUCAGGUAACAUCAAAUCGUACCCCAAACCGACACAGGUGGUCAGGUAGAGAAUACCAAGGCGCUUGAGAGAACUCGGGUGAAGGAACUAGGCAAAAUGGUGCCGUAACUUCGGGAGAAGGCACGCUGAUAUGUAGGUGAAGCGACUUGCUCGUGGAGCUGAAAUCAGUCGAAGAUACCAGCUGGCUGCAACUGUUUAUUAAAAACACAGCACUGUGCAAACACGAAAGUGGACGUAUACGGUGUGACGCCUGCCCGGUGCCGGAAGGUUAAUUGAUGGGGUCAGCGCAAGCGAAGCUCUUGAUCGAAGCCCCGGUAAACGGCGGCCGUAACUAUAACGGUCCUAAGGUAGCGAAAUUCCUUGUCGGGUAAGUUCCGACCUGCACGAAUGGCGUAAUGAUGGCCAGGCUGUCUCCACCCGAGACUCAGUGAAAUUGAACUCGCUGUGAAGAUGCAGUGUACCCGCGGCAAGACGGAAAGACCCCGUGAACCUUUACUAUAGCUUGACACUGAACAUUGAGCCUUGAUGUGUAGGAUAGGUGGGAGGCUUUGAAGUGUGGACGCCAGUCUGCAUGGAGCCGACCUUGAAAUACCACCCUUUAAUGUUUGAUGUUCUAACGUGGACCCGUGAUCCGGGUUGCGGACAGUGUCUGGUGGGUAGUUUGACUGGGGCGGUCUCCUCCUAAAGAGUAACGGAGGAGCACGAAGGUUGGCUAAUCCUGGUCGGACAUCAGGAGGUUAGUGCAAUGGCAUAAGCCAGCUUGACUGCGAGCGUGACGGCGCGAGCAGGUGCGAAAGCAGGUCAUAGUGAUCCGGUGGUUCUGAAUGGAAGGGCCAUCGCUCAACGGAUAAAAGGUACUCCGGGGAUAACAGGCUGAUACCGCCCAAGAGUUCAUAUCGACGGCGGUGUUUGGCACCUCGAUGUCGGCUCAUCACAUCCUGGGGCUGAAGUAGGUCCCAAGGGUAUGGCUGUUCGCCAUUUAAAGUGGUACGCGAGCUGGGUUUAGAACGUCGUGAGACAGUUCGGUCCCUAUCUGCCGUGGGCGCUGGAGAACUGAGGGGGGCUGCUCCUAGUACGAGAGGACCGGAGUGGACGCAUCA
rnacentral:rRNA from 1 species